CGGAAAACUGGGGAUAAUACUCUAUAGACUAUGGAUGCUGGAAUGCUUUGUAGUCGAAAGGUCCGCCGCCGUAGGAUGGGUCUGCGGCCGAUUAGGUUGUUGUUGGGGUAACGGCCCAACAAGCCUGUAAUCGGUACGGGUUGUGGGAGCAAGAGCCCGGAGAUGGAUUCUGAGACACGAAUCCAGGCCCUACGGGGCGCAGCAGGCGCGAAAACUUUACAAGGCGGGAAACCGGGAUAGGGGAACUCCGAGUGCCCGUAAAAUCGGGCUGUCCAUUUGUUUAAAUAACAAGGGAAGAAAGGGCCGGGCAAGACCGGUGCCAGCCGCCGCGGUAACA
rnacentral:rRNA from 1 species